UGAAGGAGGAAGUGGAGUAGAUGUGGAAGAUGAAGUCCAAAGUGGUCUCAGUGGUAAUAAGAGCACUAGGAGCUGUAACUCCCCUAAACUGGAUAAGUGGCUCCAGCAGAUUCCAGACACAACAUCAGAGGUCUCUGUCCAGAAGAGUGCAGUGCAGAAAGUGGAACCAGUGA